rnacentral:rRNA from 1 species
AACGAACGCUGGCGGCAUGCCUAACACAUGCAAGUCGAACGAGAUCUUCGGGUCUAGUGGCGCACGGGUGCGUAACGCGUGGGAAUCUGCCCUUUGGUUCGGAAUAACAGUUGGAAACGACUGCUAAUACCGGAUGAUGACGAAAGUCCGAAGAUUUAUCGCCGGAGCAUGAGCCCGCGUAGGAUUAGCUAGUUGGUGUGGUAAAGGCGCACCAAGGCGAGGAUCCUUAGCUGGUCUGAGAGGAUGAUCAGCCACACUGGGACUGAGACACGGCCCAGACUCCUACGGGAGGCAGCAGUGGGGAAUAUUGGACAAUGGGCGAAAGCCUGAUCCAGCAAUGCCGCGUGAGUGAUGAAGGCCUUAGGGUUGUAAAGCUCUUUUACCCGGGAUGAUAAUGACAGUACCGGGAGAAUAAGCCCCGGCUAACUCCGUGCCAGCCGCCGCAGUAA